CUCGGCCUUUUGGCUAAGAUCAAGUGUAGUAUCUGUUCUUAUCAGUUUAAUAUCUGAUAUGUGGCCCAUCGGGUCACACGAUAUUAAAUUAAUUUCUUGAGGGGGGAGGGUUCGCCACAGUAGCUUGCUACUGGGACCUUCAAGCGUCGCCCAUGCGUUGCACUAUUGCACUGGCCUGGCGCACCCCACCCAAACCUAGUCUCAAACUUUUCUUGGCUCUGUCGGGUUAUUGAUGAGGAUGGAUGUACGUUUUCUCGGCCUCUUAAGCACACUGUCAUAAAAGACAUUUAAAAUUCGACCAAAAUUCAACACCAGUCAUAUUGUAGCCAGGGAAGCAACCUGAGCCUACUGCCUAGUCCUACUUGGAAUGCAAACCGACUAAAUGAGUUAUUUUUUUUCAAAAUUUGGAGAAUACUUUCGGAAAUUCUUUCCACAACUACAAGGCAAGAGCAAAUCCCAAUUCUUCGGUUUGAAAAAAAAACGAUGGAGCUCAGGUGGUAGCGGCACGGUUCUGUCCAAGGACCCCAAGAAGAAGGACGAGAAAAAGAAAAAGAUCGGGUUCAGCUAUUUUGUGCUUGAUAGGGUUUCUGUGCAAUAAUUUUGGAUAGAAAGCGUAAUAGAAACUUUAGCCAUGCGCGAGGCUUGGUUCUGUUUGAAA